rnacentral:tRNA from 1 species
CGUCACUAGCUGGAUUCGAACCAGCAAUCCCAAGCUUAACAGGCUUGUGCCUUAACCGUUAGGCCAUAGUGAC